ACACAUUUCUAAUUUGGUAAUGAAUUAUUCCAGAUAUCUUCUGAAAGAUGCUUUACUCUUGAGUAAAUCUUUUGCAUGAUGAGCUUAGUACUUUUGGGAAACAAUUCAGUUUUUAUACAUUUUAAACAAUAUAUUGUGUUUUCAAAUGUAAAUGUAAGAAAUAUUAUACAAUGUUUUCAGAGUAUUUUGUCAUUUCUACGGUCAUUUUGAUAAGAUGACAGAGAAACGUGAAGGCCAAUAUAACAAUUAUUUUCAGAUUUUAUAUAAAUAUAUAACCAAGAUCGUGAUUAUAUCACACCCCUUAAUUUUAGAAAUCCAAAUCCAAAGCAUGAAAUGCAAAGUAUGCCAGGCUUGUAGUUUUUCUUUUCUUCUCUCAUACAUUUUACUUAAAAAUUGUUGCUUAAAAUCAUUUAAGCAUCAUGCCAACCAUGUGUUUGCAUGUAUGGCACAUGAAAUACUCUAUUGUCCUUCAUUAGAAAAUUAAGCCAACCCAAUAGCUUUGGCUUCUGGGAGGCAAAACACGCUCUUUUGGUAGGAAAUAGUAGCCCGACAGGACAUUCAGUGUGGCCCAACUAUACAAUACAAUACAAUACAAUUUUAUUUAGGUAAGGUACAUACAUACAAUAAAUAUUUACAAGGAUUGUUUGACUUAUAGGUAGAGCUAGUACAUACAAUGCCUAAAGCCACUAUUACGCAAAGCGUUUCGGGCAACUGAUUCAUUUGGUCUGUCAAUUUUGGCUAGGAUCAAGUGUUUAGUAAAGAGUUUAAGUCUCUCUCUUUGUCUUUGGAAUGUCAUGCAGACCCCAUUCAAUUUACCUGCAUAUAACACUACUAUAGAAAGAUGGUAAUGUCAAAUUCAGAGAUAAGUAAAUUUAUUUGGAUCUUUCAAUAUUUUCUUAAAAAGGAUGGUGAUGACAAUUACCAAACAUGUUCUAAAAAGCAAGGGCCCCUAACACACUAGCCUCAACAAGGACAAGAAGCCGACAGCUUGUCAAAGGUAUUCCCAUUUGUCCUAAGGAUUUUUUCCAGCUGGAUUUGAAAUUUUAUCAGUUUUGACAUCUACGGAUUCAUCAGAUAGGCAGUUCCAUGGGGUUAUAAUCCUGUGGGUGAAAAGGCAUCUCUUGUUUUCAGUCCUACAUUGUAUCUUGUUGAGCACGAAAGCAUUGCUUUUUGUGUGUGUUACAUCUCACCUUUUGGAGAAAUUGUCUGGAUCAACAUCAUCCAUAUUCUUCAGUAUUUUAAAAACUUCUAUGACCUCUGCCCUGUCAUGCCUGUUUAGCAAGUAUAUUAUGUCAGUAAUAUACUUCCUCCAUAUUCUACUUUAUUCCUAUUUUAAUUAUUAAUUCCUAAUUAAUAUUCCUCCAUAUUCUCCAUAGUAUACAAAAAAAUCUUGUGUUACGUCUGACCUUCUGAAGAAAUUGACUGGAUCGACAUCCUCCAAAUUGCUCAGUAUUUUAAGUUUCAAUGAGAUCCACCCAGUCAUGCCUGGUUUGCAGUGUUGUUAGUCCAGUGGCUCUCAAUCAUUCCUGAUAUGUGAGAUGACUAAGCUCUGGAAUGAUUUUUGUUUCCCGGUGUUACACCUUCUCCAGAGCAGCUGUCUUUCUAAAGAUGAGGUCUCCAUGUCUGGAUAGACUAAUCCAGGCAACACUUUUUACAUCCUGUUGGAGGAAGUUGAGGUGUAGUCACCAAAUAUAAGCAAGCAAUAUGAGAAUAGCCAACAGUACAAUUUCCACAGUGAGUCAGAUAACUCCAGUACAGAUACUUUGGAGUUACCACACUUCUUCAACCUCAAGAAUGUAGCACUCGGCAUGUACAGCUUUAAUCGACCCCAAGACGCUACAGCAUUGACACAGAGCAGACAGCAGACUAUGACCGCAUCGAGCUACAACACACUCGCUCCUCAUUGAGUUUAGAGACUCACGAAUUUCCAGUCGAGCCGUCACGCUUUCCCGCAUAGAGCUCCGCGACUCCUGCCCUCACUCAGCUCUCUGCUCUACUCCAAGCUCCGUCUGAAUGUCUACGACAGUGCCAAUGACCGACUACUGUAUACAAGCCUACUAAAUAAAUAUGAAACUCACUAAACACUGUGUAUCUAAUCUACCCAACAAUGUAACAUAAUCGUACGUUACAACUAGAAGCCUGAGGAAGCCGAUGUGAGCACUCUGUACCUGCAAGAGUUUUAAAAUCUUAUGCUGUACCCUAAUACUUUCCCCGACAAGAUAAUUUAUUGAUAAUUAGCAACCUUUACCUGAUGGGAUGCACAACUGAAGUGUUAGAGGCCCAGAAUUGGAGGUAUUGGUUUGGUAAACUCUAUCACACCUCUUCCUUACCCUGCAGAUCUGGUUCACCCAGCAUUUGGUCUUUUUCCCCCUCGAUUGGUUCCCGCUUUGAAGCAUCCGAGGGUUUUGGAGUCGAAGGCUGCCUCUCAGCUCUGACUAUAAUAAUAAUAAUAAUUUUUAUUUAGGCAAAGGUACAUACAUAAAGAGAUUUUACAAAGUUUGUUGGCUUUAUAGAUAGGAGCUAGUACAUACAAUGCCUAAAGCCACUAUUACGCAAAGCGUUUCGGGCAGAAACUACUUGACUCUGCAAAAUGGAACAGAGUUGAGCUUUUGAUGGCAGAGGCAGUUGAGGUUUCUUUUCCCACUGGGAUGCAGAGUCUUCACCAUUACAUCCAGCUUUGAUCCUUCUAACAACUCUCUCUUUCCUUGAGGGGCUUGGCAAAUUCUGUAAAACUAAAAUGCUUGAAUUGCGAGAAGCAAGUUCCAUAUUAAAGGUGUUCAUGGACAGUGCACAUUCUCCACUCAAGGACUACUUGAUUGUUCUGGUGCUUCCCAAGGUAGAAUGGCCAGACAUCCUACAUUCUUACAAAUCAACUCACCAAGUGUUUCAGGCAGGUCCUUAAGCUAAAGAAUAUAAUAAUAGGUACUUUGUAACAAAAUUUACAUUCACAUAACUAUCUCAUUCUAAAUAGAAAGAACAAAUUAUAAUGAAGUUGUAUUUCUUUAAUAAUAAACUGGGUGUGUAGGUAGCAUGUGAUGAUCAUCCCCUGCUUCCUGUACAUCUGUGAGGUGUGGGAGGUUCUGUGACUGAUGUGACAGUAGUGGGAAGCUAUUUAUUUAUUUAUUUAUGCAUAUACAAGAAUGUACA